GUCUAGUACUCAGAGUUUGAUCCUGGCUCAGAGCGAACGCUGGCGGCAGGCUUAACACAUGCAAGUCGAACGGUCCUUCGGGAUAGUGGCGGACGGGUGAGUAACACGUGGGAACGUACCCUUAGGUUCGGAACAACACAGGGAAACUUGUGCUAAUACCGGAUAAGCCUUUCGGGGGAAAGAUUUAUCGCCUUUGGAGCGGCCCGCGUCUGAUUAGCUUGUUGGUGAGGUAAUGGCUCACCAAGGCUACGAUCAGUAGCUGGUCCGAGAGGAUGGCCAGCCACACUGGGACUGAGACACGGCCCAG
rnacentral:rRNA from 1 species